AAAGCUUAAAUAAUUGUGGCGCAGGAGGGGGUUUGUGAAUCACUCUAGCUAUGGUAAGUUUUGUUUUGUUUUUCCAGUUUGGAGAAGGCCUUUUCUGGAAUUCUGAAAGGCAACUUCAAUAGGACUUGGCUGAAGUUUGUUUCUGGGUCUCCUGACCUGUAGAUACAGACCAGAUCUUUGAAUUGGCUCCUUUGAUGUGAGUCAAGGCUCUCUGAUCUAUGGCAGUGUUAAUCGGGCGAUGGCCUUUGAUCACCUGGGCUCCCGCUUCGACCUUCUCCCGUGUAUGCUGUGUGCCUGCUUGUCUCUAUUCCUUUCUUCUGCCUAGGAUGGGCUUCCAAACAUUCUGUCGGUGUCUCCAUCCUCGGUGUGAUUAUGUUUAAUCAGCACUCUUUCUGAUGUCAGGUGGGAAGAUACUCUAAAUACUUUUAAAGUGUGUUUGAAGUAUUGAAAUGUGGUCCUUACCCCCACUCUGUCCUCUCCCCCGGUAUUUUUUAUAAAGACUAAAACAAAAUCGACUUUGACAAGGAGAAAAGUCACAGUAUGGAAUAUGUGUGUCUAUCGAUCGUGGAUGUAAGCUAUCAGAAACUUAAGUUCCCAAAGUUGUAUUAUCUUAUUUUGCAAUCCACUUACACGUGGGGAUUAACGGCGGAAUGAUCCUCUCAGCACUAAGAGGCUCGGGAAGACAAAGGACGCUGGGAUGGAGGCAGCAGGAGCGCCCAGUGAUUAAGUCUAAAUGGCAGGAUUAGCCCCACUGAGGGUCCUUUUCAGAUCAGGCUUGAAGCGGGUGUCCUCCACCCUGGCCUGUGUUGACCUUACAGAGUUGGUGACCUCCCUUCCUUUCUCUCCUUUCUCUGUAGCCAUUGAUCUUCUGUGCAUGGGCCCACGACCUCAGCUUUUCUCUAGGAUUGCUUUCUGGUUUAUGAACUGUCCCUAGAGCCAGCGUAAAUGAGAUGCUGGAGCCCAAAUCAGGCAGCCUGCAGAUAUGAGGAGGAACAGGUGGAUAGUUAGGCAACCAGGCAAACAAGCAGGGAUUUAAAAAAGGAAAAGAAAAAAACCAAAAAAACAAAACAAAAAACCCAGUGGUGUUGGGGCCGCAUACCUUCCAUUGUGGGUGUCCCCCGCUGCAGCUGGACUUUCCUCACCUCGGAUACUUGGGACCUUAAGCCCAAGCCCAACCUACAGAAAAUCUGGGCAGUAAGUCAGUGGGUAGGAAAUGCUGGGUGCCACCAGGGUGGCAGUAUGGAUUGGCGACAGGGAGAAAUGGGGAGCAGAGUCCCCACCCUCAAACAGAAUAGGUUCUCUGAGAUGGGAGGUUGGAUAACCCACAGCAGGUAGGAUGAUGGAGCACCUUGUGAUCACGUGAUCACGCGUUGGCCUGGCAGAGGGACUGUGGGGAGAAGGGACGAAGGCGGCCGAGUAUGGAGAAUGAGCGGAUCGAAGCCUGAGGUAGAUGAGGCUUCCUUCUGCUCCUCGAAGUCUGUUGUGUGGACCGAGGUCGGCCAGGGGGAUACUGGAAAAGCACGUGGUCUAAGGGACUUUGUUGUACGUUCGAGCUAGCUUGUUCUUUGAAGAUGCUUUGACAGUUACGUGAACGAUGAAGAACAGAGUGGGCGUUCUAGUGUAGGAACAUGGCGAUUGUCUUGCCAAUCUCUCUCUUUUUUUUUUCUUACCUUUAUUUUUCUUUGACUUUUACUUAUUUGCAACUUCAGAGGCCGCUUUGUGUUUUGUGCCCGUAACCGCGUCAUCAGCCUGCACUGCAGCCCCGCCUUCCCUCCUGCCCCAUUUAUAAUCUCUCACGCUCUGCUCAUCGGUCGUUGACAGUCAUUCUAGUAAAACUCAGUAUCUACCUGUUCAGAGUCUUUUGACGUUAUUUAUAUGUCUUACUUAAAAGUUUCUUUUCUUGUGGGCUGGUGAGAUGGCUCAGCAGUUAAGGACCCUGGCUGCUCUUCCAGAGGUCCUGAGUUCAAUUCCCUGCAACGAUAAGGUGGCUUUUGACCAUCUAUAAAGGGGGUCUGAUGCCCACUUUUGGCAUGUAGGUGUAUUGCAGACAGAGCACUAUUUUAAGAACAUUAAGGGGCUGGAGAGAUGGCUCAGUCGUUAAGAUCACUGAUGGCUCUUCCAGAGGUCGUGAGUUCAACUCCCAGCAAGCACAUGGUGACUCACAACCAUCUGUAAUGAGAAUUGAUGCCCUCUUCUGGUGUAUCUGAAGACAUCUAUAGUAUACUUAUAUGUAAUAAAUAAAUACUUUAUUUUUUUAUUUUUAGAAUUAAUUUUUUAUUAGGUAUUUUCCUCAUUUACAUUUCCAAUGCUAUCCAAAAAGUCCCCAAUACACCCCCCCGUCCCCUACCCACCCACUCCCACUUUUUGGCCCUGGCGUUCCCCUGUACUGGGGUAUAUAAAGUUUGCAAGUCCAAAGGGCCUCUCUUUCCAGUGAUGGCUGACUAGGCCAUCUUUUGAUACAUAUGCAGCUAGAGUCAAAUACUUUUUUUUUAAAAAAAAGAUUAAACCCUUUCUGUGUGUGUCAUAUGUGCAUAUGUGUGCAUAUGUGCAUGUGUGUGCAUAUGUGCAUGUGUGUGCAUAUGUGCAUGUGUGUGCAUAUGUGUGUUCCGUUAUGCUCACUCAUGCAUGCUCGUGUGAAGUCCAGAGAUUGAUGCUGGCUUUUUAUCUAUUUAUUGUUCUUUAUUUUUUUGAGACAGGGUCUCUCUCUCAUUCAACUUGGGGUUUGACUGGUUGGCCAGUGAACCUCUGGUGGUUUCUAUUAACCUCCUUCCUCCAAGCACUGGUUACAGAAGUACGCCCUGCCCAACUCUGACCAGAGUGCUGGGGACCCAAACUCAGGACCCUAAGCUCACCUAACAGGCACUGUACCUGCUGAGCCAUCCCCUUCCAGUCAGUCCCAGGUUAAAUUUCCCCAGAUGUGCUGUCUGUGUUAAAUGGCUCUUCCUGCCUCUAACACUAGAUAUUGAAUGCACAGCCUCAUGGAUGCUAAUCAUGGCUCCCCCGCGGAGCUUGCCCCAUCUCCUAAGAUGGGCCUUGAUUUGACCUGUCAUGCUGCCUUCCAGACAUCUUGCCAGUUUAUGUGUAUGUGUGUCAGUCCCUGAAUGUGUUGGACUUCUGUAGCUGUGAGAAAUGCUGGAGAAAGCAAAUAAAGGGAAGAAGUGUUUGUUUUGUUUCACUGUUCUUUUUUUUAAAGAUUUAUUUGUUUUAUGUAUGUGAGGACACUGUCGCUGUCUUCAGACACACCAGAAGAGGGCAUCAGAUCCCAUUACAGAUGGUUGUGAGCCACCAUGUGGUUGCUGGGACUUGAACUCAGGACCUCUGGAAGAGCCUCUUAACCUCUGAGCCAUCUCUCCAGCCCAUUUCACCGUUCUUAAGACGUUUCAGCCCUGGCUGGCUCCAUUGCUCUGGGCCUAAGGCAAAAGCAGACUUCCUAGUGGCGGGCGGGGAUGUGUGAGCAGCUGCACUUCUCCAUUGUCGCCGGCCUUGUGGAUACUUUGCAUACUCUAUUAUUAAACAUCCUUAUGGGACUGGUUCUGGUAGUUAAAAGCACUUGCUGCUUUCUAGUGGGUUCGAAUCUGGUUCUUAGGACGCAGAGCAGUGGCUCCUGCUCCAGGGUGCCCAAAGCUUUCUUCUGGUAACCCCAGGCAAUUGCAAGCUCAUGGCGUUCCCUCCUGCUCACACGUACAUAAAAACCAAAUCUUU
rnacentral:lncRNA from 1 species